AACUUUUAGUUAUUUGUCCUAUGGACAACAUAGCUGUAUGCAUUUGCUCGUUGCAUAAACCUCCUCCUAUGGAUUUUAGACAAUUAUUAGAUAGGGCCAUGGAAGGAUAUCAUAUACUUAAGGGUUCAAAGUUGAAGAAGAAAAUGAGUUGGGUCUCUCCUAAAUCUCAUAAACAAAAAGGAAAUUAUGAGUGCGAAUACUAUGUAAUGAAGACAAUGCAUACUAUUGUUGA